AACGAACGCUGGCGGCAUGCCUAACACAUGCAAGUCGAACGAAGCCUUCGGGCUUAGUGGCGCACGGGUGCGUAACGCGUGGGAAUCUGCCCUUUGGUUCGGAAUAACAGUUGGAAACGACUGCUAAUACCGGAUGAUGACGAAAGUCCAAAGAUUUAUCGCCAGAGGAUGAGCCCGCGUAGGAUUAGCUAGUUGGUGUGGUAAAGGCGCACCAGGGCGACGAUCCUUAGCUGGUCUGAGAGGAUGAUCAGCCACACUGGGACUGAGACACGGCCCAGACUCCUACGGGAGGCAGCAGUGGGGAAUAUUGGACAAUGGGCGGAAGCCUGAUCCAGCAAUGCCGCGUGAGUGAUGAAGGCCCUAGGGUUGUAAAGCUCUUUUACCCGGGAUGAUAAUGACAGUACCGGGAGAAUAAGCCCCGGCUAACUCCGUGCCAGCAGCCGCGGUAA
rnacentral:rRNA from 1 species